rnacentral:rRNA from 1 species
CCUACGGGAGGCAGCAGUGAGGAAUAUUGGUCAAUGGGCGGGAGCCUGAACCAGCCAAGCCGCGUGAGGGAAGAAGGUACAGCGUAUCGUAAACCUCUUUUGUCAGGGAACAAAGGCGGGGACUAGUCCCCGGAUGAGGGUACCUGAAGAAAAAGCAUCGGCUAACUCCGUGCCAGCAGCCGCGGUAAUACGGAGGAUGCGAGCGUUAUCCGGAUUUAUUGGGUUUAAAGGGUGCGCAGGCGGCCUGUUAAGUCAGCGGUAAAAGCCCGGGGCUCAACCCCGGAGAGCCGUUGAAACUGGGGGGCUGGAGUUGGAGAGAGGUACGCGGAAUGCGCGGUGUAGCGGUGAAAUGCUUAGAUAUCGCGCAGAACCCCGAUUGCGAAGGCAGCUUACUAAGCUACCACUGACGUUGAUGCUCGAAAGUGUGGGUAUCAAACAGGAUUAGAUACCCUUGUAGUC